rnacentral:RNase_P_RNA from 13 species
AAACUACACAGUUAAUGAAAAGGGAGAAAGAAGAAAGGAGAAGAGAGAAGAAGAAGAAGAAGAAGAGAGAGGGUGGGUUUUUAUUGUUCUUGAUCAUCUUUUUAUCUCUCUGGAGACUUUUGAUCCUGUUUUCUUUUCUUUUUUUCUCUUUCUCUUUCUCUUC